UACGGAGGGUGCAAGCGUUAUCCGGAUUCACUGGGUUUAAAGGGUGUGUAGGCGGGCUGUUAAGUCAGUGGUGAAAUCUCCGGGCUCAACCCGGAAACUGCCAUUGAUACUAAUGGUCUUGAAUUUUGUUGAGGUAGGCGGAAUAUGUCAUGUAGCGGUGAAAUGCUUAGAUAUGACAUAGAACACCGAUUGCGAAGGCAGCUUACUAAGCAAAUAUUGACGCUGAGGCACGAAAAGCGUGGGGAUCAAACAGG
rnacentral:rRNA from 1 species